rnacentral:lncRNA from 1 species
UUGAAUUUUUUAUAUUUAUUUAAUAAACUUCCUUUUGGACAUAUUUUGCGUAAAAAAAAAUCCCUGCCCUUCAAUUAUCUUUAUAUUCUGCAGAUUCAGAUUCAUUCUGACUACUACAGCUACGACGACACAAAAUUCUGUACAAUAGAUCCAGUGCUUGUCCUCGGCAUUACAAACAUUUAACAUUAAUUUUAAACAAACUCCAGCCAAAGGUUCUGGCAAUGAAACAUAACCAUAUUAUUGCCAAAUACUACAAUUAAUAUAAAUAUAAAAUCACAUCAAAUGUUCUUAUACCACAAAAAAGUGAGUUGCAACUAUCGGACGGAUGGAUGUUUUUGUGCUAGAAAUGGUGAGAAUAUUUUAGGUUGAUUCGGUAAUAAGGUAAUCAUUUAUAGGAAGUCAAACCGUGGCCAAACUAGGAGACCCGAUGGGAGAAUUAACAAUAAGAACAGUUACCUUCCUUAUCGAUCAGGCACUAAGAGACUGUCCGGUGGCUGUUACGGCUCACACAGAAGGUCACAGAUGUAUAAUGGUUUGGAGUUUUCCAGUGAAUCUAGGUACAUUUGUGUAAAAGAUGUACAAAGGGGCAAAGAGGGAGAAAAUGCAGUUUGUGUAGAAUAUAUAUAAGAAGGGGGAACCUGAGGGUUGGAUGGGGGCGUAAAGGAGGGAAUAAAUGGGGGUGUAAAGGAAGGAAUAAAACGGGGUAAAGUAUAUUUUUAACCACAGUUUCACAUGCAAUACAAAUAUAUCACAAACAGACAUUCAAGUAAACAGUCAAGUGAGCAGAACAAAUAUCACUGUACAGUUCUGGAUGUUCAUUCUACAUGGGCCAAAUUUCAAAGAAUAAUCACUUAGUAUAGCAAUAUAGUGCAUUAACCAAGUUUAUUAUAAGUGGACGUACUUAGUGUAAUAUCAAGAGCAGAUUUGUAGCAGUGGUAAUGAAUUGUAAACAGACAAUGGUGCCAUAUAAGCCAUUAUCAAUAACCGAUCUCAAGUGGUGCGUUACAACUUAAAGGACACCUGGUAUGCCAAUUUCAUGUUUAAGGAAUACAUCUAGUAUAUUGAUAUUCCUGUAGUACCACCAGUAUCCUCAUACUCCACAGAAUGGAAUAUUUAAAGGGACACUCCACUGCCCACAUACAAAUAUUUAAAAAUAAACAAAUAAAAAAAUCACUAUUUUAAUAGAUAUACCCCCAAUGAAAACAUGCAUGUAGUUAAAAUUAUACAUUUUCCCAUUGCGGUUAUAUAUAAAACCAGUUUCUAAAAGCUGCAGAUCUUUUGGGAAGUCUGUGACUGGACAGCCACAAAAUCUCCUGUGAGGUCAGCCUAACCCAGGAAGGGACUGAGAUAAUAAAAUGCACCUUCAGAUCUCCUGUGAGGUCAGCCUUACCCUGGAAGGGACUGAGAUAAUAAAAUGCACCUUCAGAUUUCCUGUGAGGUCAGCCUAACCCAGGAAGGGACUGAGAUAAUAAAAUACACCUUCAGAUCUCCUGUGAGGUCAGCCUAACCCAGGAAGGGACUGAGAUAAUAAAAUGCACCUUCAGAUCUCCUGUGAGGUCCACCUAACCCAGGAAGGGACUGAGAUAAUAAAAUGCACCUUCAGAUCUCCUGUGAGGCCCACCUAACCCAAGAAGGGAUUGAGAUUAUAAAAUGCACCUUCAGAUCUCCUGUGAGGUCAGCCUAACCCUGGAAGGGACUGAGAUAAUAAAAUGCACCUUCAGAUCUCCUGUGAGGUCAGCCUAACCCUGGAAGGGACUGAGAUAAUAAAAUGCACCUUCAGAUCUCCUGUGAGGUCAGCCUAACCCUGGAAGGGACUGAGAUAAUAAAAUGCACCUUCAGAUCUCCUGUGAGGUCAGCCUUACCCUGGAAGGGACUGAGAUAAUAAAAUGCACAUUCAGAUCUCCUGUGAGGCCCACCUAACCCAAGAAGGGAUUGAGAUUAUAAAAUGCACCUUCAGAUCUCAUGUGAGGUCAGCCUAACCCAAGAAGGGACUGAGAUAAUAAAAUGCACCUUCAGAUCUCCUGUGAGGUCAGCCUAACCCAGGAAGGGACUGAGAUAAUAAAAUGCACCUUCAGCCUGUGAGGUCAGCCUUACCCUGGAAGGGACUGAGAUAAUAAAAUGCACAUUCAGAUCUCCUGUGAGGCCCACCUAACCCAAGAAGGGAUUGAGAUUAUAAAAUGCACCUUCAGAUCUCAUGUGAGGUCAGCCUAACCCAGGAAUCUGAAGGUGCAUUUAACCCCGUCCAGACUUUGUGGCUGUCCAAUCACAGACAUCCCAAUGCAGCUCAAUGAAUAGUUGCAAUUAUCUGCCUCUUGGGUUUAUCUCCACUGAGCUAAACAAACCAGGAAGUAAUCUGUUUUUGUAAAACAUAUAAAUAAAAUAAAAUAAAAAAAACUCUUCAUACAUAAAGCACUUCAACAAACUAAAGUGAUUGCCACAUUGAGCUCUGACACUCGGUAGAUACUGUUUGCGUUGAACUGUGAAAAUACUUUCUAAAAGGUAUGGAAACACAUCCACUGCUUCGGCUGA